UGUGUUUCUUCCUUCACCACUCAGGAAA
rnacentral:piRNA from 1 species